GGUUAAGCGACUAAGCGUACACGGUGGAUGCCUAGGCAGUCAGAGGCGAUGAAGGGCGUGCUAAUCUGCGAAAAGCGUCGGUAAGGUGAUAUGAACCGUUAUAACCGACGAUACCCGAAUGGGGAAACCCAGUGCAAUUCGUUGCACUAUCGUUAGAUGAAUACAUAGUCUAACGAGGCGAACCGGGGGAACUGAAACAUCUAAGUACCCCGAGGAAAAGAAAUCAACCGAGAUUCCCCCAGUAGCGGCGAGCGAACGGGGAAGAGCCCAGAGUCUGAAUCAGGUUGUGUGUUAGUGGAAGCGUCUGGAAAGUCGCACGGUACAGGGUGAUAGUCCCGUACACCAAAACACACCUCCUGUGAACUCGAUGAGUAGGGCGGGACACGUGACAUCCUGUCUGAAUAUGGGGGGACCAUCCUCCAAGGCUAAAUACUCCUGACUGACCGAUAGUGAACCAGUACCGUGAGGGAAAGGCGAAAAGAACCCCGGCGAGGGGAGUGAAACAGAACCUGAAACCGUGUACGUACAAGCAGUGGGAGCACCUUCGUGGUGUGACUGCGUACCUUUUGUAUAAUGGGUCAGCGACUUAUAUUUUGUAGCAAGGUUAACCGAAUAGGGGAGCCGUAGGGAAACCGAGUCUUAACUGGGCGUCUAGUUGCAAGGUAUAGACCCGAAACCCGGUGAUCUAGCCAUGGGCAGGUUGAAGGUUGGGUAACACUAACUGGAGGACCGAACCGACUAAUGUUAGAAAAAUUAGCGGAUGACUUGUGGCUGGGG
rnacentral:rRNA from 1 species